rnacentral:rRNA from 1 species
AUUGAACGCUGGCGGCGUGCUUAACACAUGCAAGUCGAACGAAGUGGCGAACGGGUGAGUAACGCGUAAUCAACCUGCCCUUCAGAGGGGGACAACAGUUGGAAACGACUGCUAAUACCGCAUAAUGAAGGUGGGGGUUGCGUCUGAUUCGCUGGCUGGAGGGGUAAAGGCCUACCAAGGCGAUGAUCCGUAGCCGGGUUGGGGGGAUGAACGGCCACAUUGGGACUGGGACACGGCCCAGACUCCUACGGGAGGCAGCAGUGGGGAAUCUUCCGCAAUGGACGAAAGUCUGACGGAGCAACGCCGCGUGGUUGAUGACGGCCUUCGGGUUGUAAAGCUCUGUUAAUCGGGACGCGGUACCGGAAUAGAAAGCCACGGCUAACUACGUGCCAGCAGCCGCGGUAAUAC